CCUACGGGAGGCAGCAGUGGGGAAUAUUGCACAAUGGGGGAAACCCUGAUGCAGCGACGCCGCGUGAGUGAAGAAGUAAUUCGUUACGUAAAGCUCUAUCAGUAGGGAAGAAACACUGACCUUACGGUCAGCAGACGGUACCUGCGUAAGAAGCACCGGCUAACUACGUGCCAGCAGCAGCGGGAAUACGUAGGGGGCAACCGUUAUCAGGAGUUACUGGGUGGAAAGGGAGCGUAGGCGGGGCGGCAAGUCUGGAGUGAAAUGCCGGAGCUUAACUGCGGAACUGCUUUGGAAACUGGCGAACUAGAGUGCGGGAGAGGUAUGCGGAAUGCCUAGUGUAGCGGUGAAAUGCGUAGAUAUUAGGAGGAACUCCGGUGGCGAAGGCAGCUUACUGGACCGUAACUGACGUUGAGGCUCGAAAGCGUGGGGAGCAAACAGGAUUAGAUACCCGGGUAGUC
rnacentral:rRNA from 1 species